AACGAACGCUGGCGGCAGGCUUAACACAUGCAAGUCGAGCGCCCCGCAAGGGGAGCGGCAGACGGGUGAGUAACGCGUGGGAAUCUACCCAUCUCUACGGAAUAACGCAUGGAAACGUGUGCUAAUACCGUAUACGUCCUUCGGGAGAAAGAUUUAUCGGAGAUGGGUGAGCCCGCGUUGGAUUAGCUAGUUGGUGGGGUAAAGGCCUACCAAGGCGACGAUCCAUAGCUGGUCUGAGAGGAUGAUCAGCCACACUGGGACUGAGACACGGCCCAGACUCCUACGGGAGGCAGCAGGGGGGAAUAUUGGACAAUGGGCACAAGCCUGAUCCAGCCAUGCCGCGUGAGUGAUGAAGGCCCUAGGGUUGUAAAGCUCUUUCACCGGUGAAGAUAAUGACGGUAACCGGAGAAGAAGCCCCGGCUAACUUCGUGCCAGCCGCCGCAGUAACAC
rnacentral:rRNA from 1 species